CACCGUUCUCUUAAAACAAGCUUCUUUCCAUCACAAGGCAAAUACAUUGUCAGUCGCUCUUCCCAUGUUGGACUCAUUCAACUUGAUACAGCGAUGACUUUGACUACUAUGCUGGAGUCAACUGAACUUGAUAUCAUGGUGGAAUGACCAGUAACAAAGUGAAUGAAUCGAAACCUUUCUUGCAUUUCCAAAUUGAAGUCUAUUGCAGAAAGAAG
rnacentral:lncRNA from 1 species